rnacentral:misc_RNA from 1 species
AAGCUAUCUCUUAUUCCUUUAUCAAAAAAGAAGCUAUCUCUUAUUCCUGUAGAGCUCUAUGUUCCUGCAUCUCCUUCAGUUCAGCAAACUGGGAAAGAACCAUUUGUUACUGAACAUGUACAUUGGUGUGACUUGUCUUACUCCACUCCUUCAAUUCAGCUUUCAGAGCUUUCAGUUUAGCCACCAAAAUAUACUCAGGGCUACCACUGAAAUUGAAAGAGCCCAACCCUCUCAUUAAACCCUUCCGUAUGCAGCCACCUGUUUUGAUGCCGCAUCCGUGUCGGAUUCACCAAAAAUACACUACUUCUGGCGGA